rnacentral:snRNA from 1 species
GGCACUGGUGGUGGGCACCCCUGGCUUCUGGGAUGGGGUUCAAGUCCCUGCGGUGGC